rnacentral:rRNA from 1 species
GAUGAACGCUGGCGGCGUGCCUAAUACAUGCAAGUCGAGCGAACAGACGAGGAGCUUGCUCCUCUGACGUUAGCGGCGGACGGGUGAGUAACACGUGGAUAACCUACCUAUAAGACUGGGAUAACUUCGGGAAACCGGAGCUAAUACCGGAUAACAUGUUGAACCGCAUGGUUCAACAGUGAAAGACGGUCUUGCGGUCACUUAUAGAUGGAUCCGCGCCGCAUUAGCUAGUUGUUAAGGUAACGGCUUACCAAGGCAACGAUGCGUAGCCGACGUGAGAGGGGGGUCGGCCACCCGGGAAGUGGGACAGGGUCAAGACGCCUAAGGGACGCAGCAGUAGGGAAUCUGACGCAAUGGGCGAGAGCAUGACGGAGCAACGCCGCGUGAGUGACGAAGGUCUUCGGAUCGUAAAACUCUGUUAUUAGUGAAGAACAAAUGUGUCAGUAACUAUGCACGUCUUGACGGUACCUAGUCAGAAAGCAACGGCUAACUACGUG